GGAUGUGAGGGCUAUCUGGCUGCGACAUCUGUCACCCAUUGAUCGCCAGAUCACCCCACUGAUCUGGCUGGCUAGUUGGGUGUCCUCUUCCUCCCUCACAGCUCCAUGUGCAUUCCUGAAGCUGCAUGCUCUGUCGAAGAUGAUGACUUUCCCCGAAUAAAGCAGGACUGGUCUUUGGUCAAGGCUAUAUCAGUAGCUGUGCUCCCCUGCUAGAACCUCCAAACAAGUUCUCAAUUCAUUCUUUAGGAAGGCAAAUACAUUCAAAUAUUUCCUUUAUGUCCAAGACUAAUACUAUACAUGAUUUGUUCUAAAAGUCUAUAUUUUUU
rfam:Mesocricetus auratus contig158071, whole genome shotgun sequence.